AACGCGAAGAACCUUACCUACCCUUGACAUCCUCGGAAUUAUGUAGAGAUACAGAAGUGCCUUCGGGAACCGAGAGACAGGUGCUGCAUGGCUGUCGUCAGCUCGUGUUGUGAGAUGUUGGGUUAAGUCCCGUAACGAGCGCAACCCCUGUGCCUAGUUGCCAACGAGUAAAGUCGGGAACUCUAGGGAGACUGCCGGUGACAAACCGGAGGAAGGUGGGGAUGACGUCAAGUCAUCAUGGCCUUUAUGGGUAGGGCCACACACGUGCUACAAUGGUCGGUACAAAGGGAAGCCAACCCGCGAGGGGGAGCAAAUCUCAGAAAACCGAUCGUAGUCCGGAUUGGAGUCUGGAACUCGACUCCAUGAAGUUGGAAUCGCUAGUAAUCGCGGAUCAGAACGCCGCGGUGAAUACGUUCCCGGGCCUUGUACACACCGCGAGC
rnacentral:rRNA from 1 species